UACGGGGGGGGCAAGCGUUGUUCGGAGUUACUGGGCGUAAAGGGCGUGUAGGUGGUUACGUAAGUCUGGCGUGAAAUUUCUCGGCUUAACCGAGGCAGGUCGUCGGAUACUGCGGGACUAGAGGACGGUAGAGGCGUGUGGAAUUCCGGGUGUAGUGGUGAAAUGCGUAGAGAUCCGGAGGAACACCAGUGGCGAAGGCGACACGCUGGGCCGUACCUGACACUGAUGCGCGACAGCAUGGGGAGCAAACAGG
rnacentral:rRNA from 1 species